UUGAUUUCUUCGGAUUGAUUCUUAACUGACUGAGCGGCGGACGGGUGAGUAACGCGUGGGUGACCUGCCCCAUACCGGGGGAUAACAGCUGGAAACGGCUGCUAAUACCGCAUAAGCGCACAGAGCUGCAUGGCUCGGUGUGAAAAACUCCGGUGGUAUGGGACGGGCCCGCGUCUGAUUAGCUGGUUGGCAGGGUAACGGCCUACCAAGGCGACGAUCAGUAGCCGACCUGAGAGGGUGAUCGGCCACAUUGGAACUGAGACACGGUCCAAACUCC
rnacentral:rRNA from 1 species